CUUUAGCUAGGGGAUCCUUCAUCCAAGCUCCCUCAUUGCGCCCAUAACUGUGCUGCUUCUCUGGCUGCUCAAUGGAUGCUAAAGUCCCUUCACAGUUGAGGAUCUUCCCUGGAAGAAAGAAGCACAGCAUUCAACAUAGCUGGGCGUGGUGAUCUGGUCCUCUCUUCCUGCCUCUCCACCUGCACACCUGCAAUCAUUUACCUCCAAUCAACUCCACCUCCUCACUACAGUUAAAAGACAGGCUGCCUCACUCCAUCUCUACCAGAAUGGUUCACUUGCCUCCCGCUGUUGCUUUGUGUGCCCAGCUCAAUCCCCUUUUGAUGGAUUUUCCUGGCGUCCUGACCUUCCAUGUGUGUGUCGGUGUUAGCGUGAAGCCCCUCAAGCCCUCCUGGAUCAGUAGACACUGCCUACAAGAAAGGGCCAACCCACUUCACAGUUUUUGAGGCUCUGAAUGAGUUUUUGUUAAACUUGAAAAAACAACUCUUAUGAUGUUCUCAGGACUGCAUUGACUUGGGUCAAAAGAUGUUAUUGGUGGCAUCAUACUGUAGGAA